UACGUAGGGAGCGAGCGUUGUCCGGAUUUAUUGGGCGUAAAGAGCGCGUAGGCGGCUCGGUAAGCCGGAUGUGAAACCUCCAAGCUCAACUUGGAGCGGCCAUUCGGAACUGCUGUGGCUAGAGUCUGGUAGGGGAACACGGAAUUCCUGGUGUAGCGGUGAAAUGCUUAGAUAUCAGGAGGAACACCAGUGGCGAAGGCGGUGUUCUGGGCCAGUACUGACGCUGAGGCGCGAAAGCGUGGGGAGCGAACAGGAUUAGAUACCCUGGUAGUCCACGCCGUAAACGUUGGGCACUAGGUGUGGGACCCUAUCGACGGGUUCCGUGCCGUAGCUAACGCAUUAAGUGCCCCGCCUGGGGAGUACGGCCGCAAGGCUAAA
rnacentral:rRNA from 1 species